rnacentral:rRNA from 1 species
UACGUAGGGUGCGAGCGUUAAUCGGAAUUACUGGGCGUAAAGCGUGCGCAGGCGGUUUUGUAAGCCAGAUGUGAAAUCCCCGGGCUCAACCUGGGAAUGGCAUUUGGGACUGCAAGGCUGGAGUUUGGCAGAGGAGACUGGAAUUCCUGGUGUAGCAGUGAAAUGCGUAGAUAUCAGGAGGAAUACCGAUGGCGAAGGCAGGUCUCUGGGCUAUAACUGACGCUCAUGCACGAAAGCGUGGGGAGCAAACAGGAUUA